rnacentral:rRNA from 1 species
UACAGAGGUCCCAAGCGUUGUUCGGAAUUACUGGGCGUAAAGGGCGCGUAGGUGGCCUUCUUAGUCAGACGUGAAAUCCCCAGGCUUAACCUGGGAACUGCGUCUGAUACUGGAAGGCUCGAGUUCGGGAGAGGAAUGUGGAAUUCCAGGUGUAGCGGUGAAAUGCGUAGAUAUCUGGAGGAACACCGGUGGCGAAGGCGGCAUUCUGGACCGAAACUGACGCUGAGGCGCGAAAGCCAGGGGAGCAAACGGG